rnacentral:sRNA from 1 species
UUAAUACAUGUAUGCGCCAAAAACAAUCGGCGUUGGUCUCUCGUUUGUUUUGAACACGGCCAUUUCCAUCAGAGCUGGCAAGCUGGUUUCGAACGACUGAUGUUGCAUCUCGCUUCGCUGGCAACUUUCUCUUGUGACAUUGUUUUCCACGUUUUGUAACCACCAGCCACUUCCGGUGCCCUCAUCGACUCCAUAUCUAUUUGUGGACUCUGUGGUCUCAAUGAGACGGUAAUCAUAAACAUCGACUUUACCGACAGUGUAUCGGGAGAUCUUGUGACAGGACAUACGUCGACAUUGCUCCCUCUGCCUCUGCGUUUCUUGGCUUUUGACAUUAUCGAGUGCAUCCAGAUUCAGCCAGCCGACCUCACUGGAUCUCAGUGGCUAUUUCAUCUUUUAUCACCAACUACUAAAAUCUAUUCCAUAUGAGAACCCUCUCCGGUCUCGCACUGAGUCAGUUUCAUUCCGAAUAUUGGACCAUUGUACUCCUCCCAGUGUUCGAAGUCCCAAGUUCAUGUACUCAGCUCCCAAUAGGUAGCACUAAACAGUGGUAAUUGCUAUCAUUCGUGCGUUUGUUCUUUUAUGUGGAGAAUAAUCACAUUUCUCGGACUAGGGCUCAACUGGAUCCUGCUGUUCUCUUCAAUCUUUGCAAGAUGUCAAUGUCCCGCUUCUCUGCUGUUGAUCGAACGGAGAUGUGUUUUUCCCAAAAUUAUUUGAAGCUGCACAAGGGAUAUUUGAAACAAUGAUCAUCCACUUUAACUAUCUGUUCUAGAACCCUCCUACUAGGUUUCACUUGUGCUCAAAGUGCUCGAUUUUGAACAUGAGAGAUACCGGCAGAUCUACUGCUCACAAAGCUGGUCAGCAAAUGAUCCAAUCAUAUGAAGUUGACAGACACAACAAGCCUCACCGCCUUUGAGUGAUCUAUUUGUGCAUUAGGAGAUUCUUCCCAAGAUUCCCAACACUGAAGUGUUCUAAGAGGACAAGGGCUGGCUAGACAAAACAUUUUGGGCACUAUACUUGUGAUCGACUAUUAUUUUCUCCCGAGUCUCCAAGACUGUUCUCUUGCUAAGCAUUAAAGUUUUACCAUUGAGAGUCAUGUCAUACUAUACAGCCUUUCUAAUGACUGCCAGGGUUGAAAAUAUUAUCAUUGUACCAGGACAUUAACCACUAUAUCAUCCACUUCUGUUCAACACAAGUGAGAAUCUGAACACAAUCCUAUCUCUGUGUAUAACAUGAAUCAGGCUCAGUUGACAUCAACAUUUGACAGUCGUGUUCCUCAGCAACUGUUACAGUAAAUAUGCG